UACAGAGGGUGCGAGCGUUAAUCGGAAUAACUGGGCGUAAAGGGCGUGUAGGUGGUUAACUGAGUUUGAGGUGAAAGCCCUGGGCUCAACCCAGGAGGGGCUUCAAAGACGGGUUAACUAGAGUGAGAGAGGGGGUUGUGGAAUUUCCGGUGGAGCGGUGAAAUGCGUAGAGAUCGGAAGGAACACCAGCGGCGAAGGCGGCGACCUGGCUCUUUACUGACACUGAGGCGCGAAGGCGUGGGGAGCAAACAGG
rnacentral:rRNA from 1 species